rnacentral:snRNA from 1 species
GGAUGUGAGGGCGAUCUGGCUGCAACAUGUGUCACUACAUCGAUCUGGCUAGGCGGUUGUCCCCUUCCUCCCUUGCCACUCCAUGUGCAUCCCUCCCGAAGCUGCACGCUAGGUUGAAGAGGAUGACCUUCCCCCAUAGAGGAGGACCGUUCUUCUGUCAAGGGAAUACGAGAGUUGCUAUGCUCCCCUGCUAGAACUUCCAAACAAGCUCUCAAAAUAUUAUGGGAGUACAAAUGUUUUUGGUUACAUGGAUUGCUUUUGUAAUGCUUU